CUGCAGCAAGGGGGCGCCACUCACCCUAUCAUUAUCUGCCAUUUCUUUGCUUCUCUCCACACGGAGGAGACAGGAGCAGAGGAGGCAGAGGGAGGCCCCGCCCACAACAUGUCCGGCCACAAACCAGUCUAAGCAGCCCUUACUAGGAUCAGAAUGCGUUGGCAUAGUGAGGAGACGUCUGGGCAUCAAGUUCUGCAGAGAGAAGAUUUAGCUGGAACAAAUCCUGGCGUGAGGGGCCGGUGCUGGACACUGUGUAGGGACGCGGGAAUGCAAAGUCAUACACAUGACUGUGACUGAUGCACUAUUUCCAGGACAUGGAGUAGCAUUUCCGGACCUACAGCAAGACGUUGGAUGAAGGCAUAGCCCCAGAAAUAACACUGGUCCUGUUCAUCAGUGAGGGGCCGGUGCUGGACACUGUGUAGGGACACGGGAAUGCAAAGUCAUGCACAUGACUGUGACUGAUGCACUAUUUCCAGGACAUGGAGUAGCAUUUCGGGACCUACAGCAAGACGUUGGAUGAAGGCACAGGCCUAGGAAUCAUGCACAUACACAGAAACAUUUGCCCAAAUUCUAGAGGUAACCUCCUUUAGUAUGCCCAGAGGAAGGGCCAUACAGUAGCCAUGGAUUCCCUACAGGUUUCCUCCCCUCUGGAGGUUUUUCCUGUCCUGAGUAUUAGUUACUGUACGCUCUUUGUGAGUGAUGGGAGGUUACAAAAAGUCCCCUACACAAACAUUUUAAUAAAUAAUAAAUAAAG